AACGAACGCUGGCGGCAUGCCUAACACAUGCAAGUCGAACGAAGCCUUCGGGCUUAGUGGCGCACGGGUGCGUAACACGUGGGAAUCUGCCCUUCGGUUCGGAAUAACAGUUAGAAAUGACUGCUAAUACCGGAUGAUGACGAAAGUCUAAAGAUUUAUCGCCGAAGGAUGAGCCCGCGUAGGAUUAGGUAGUUGGUAGGGUAAUGGCCUACCAAGCCGACGAUCCUUAGCUGGUCUGAGAGGAUGAUCAGCCACACUGGGACUGAGACACGGCCCAGACUCCUACGGGAGGCAGCAGUGGGGAAUAUUGGACAAUGGGCGAAAGCCUGAUCCAGCAAUGCCGCGUGAGUGAUGAAGGCCUUAGGGUUGUAAAGCUCUUUUACCAGGGAUGAUAAUGACAGUACCUGGAGAAUAAGCUCCGGCUAACUCCGUGCCAGCAGCCGCGGUAAAGUCUGUACU
rnacentral:rRNA from 1 species